GGUGCCAAAUCAAACAAUUCUACAUAGAUCUUUUUCUGUCUUCUAGCCAAAAGAUAAAUUUGUUGCCAAGGGGCUCCAAUUGGGACCAUUGAAGGUAGAGAUGAACUGCUCAUUAUACUCUUACNNNNNNNNCCAUGCAGUUGCUCUUCUCUUGUUUUGACAUAUUCGCAAGUCUGGGUAUGUGCAAAACCCACAUCAUACAUAGGAGAAUAGCACACAUCAUCUGAAAUUGGCAAUGCUUUGCCUAGGAAUCUUGAAGAGAGAGAUUUAAAGAAGGCUAGCAAGUUUAAUAUGAGUUCCUGGUCAAGCUCAAGGCGAAAAUC
rnacentral:misc_RNA from 1 species